AAAGCAUACGAGAUAUUGGUGCGGUUCAAUCUGAGAGCAGUGCUCAAAGACUAAGAAGAGCCCUGUUAUUUGAUUGAGCCGUGCCAAUAUCACGUCACGUGCA
rnacentral:pre_miRNA from 1 species